UACGUAGGGUGCGAGCGUUGUCCGGAAUUAUUGGGCGUAAAGGGCUCGUAGGCGGUCUGUCACGUCGGGAGUGAAAACUCAGGGCUUAACCCUGAGCCUGCUUCCGAUACGGGCAGACUAGAGGUAUGCAGGGGAGAACGGAAUUCCUGGUGUAGCGGUGAAAUGCGCAGAUAUCAGGAGGAACACCGGUGGCGAAGGCGGCAUUCUGGACCGACAUUGACGCUGAGGAGCGAAAGCCAGGGGAGCAAACGGG
rnacentral:rRNA from 1 species